CACCUGUACGGUACGGCGGGAGAGAAAAACUUGCUUUGGACUCCGUAACGGAAUGUAAUACAUGGGCGCUAGUGGAUCCAUGUGAAGAGAAGGGUUGGUAGGUGGAGUCGCUAACCCCCCCCCCCCCCAAACUACACAUCUUAAACAAAUUUAGUGUAAUAGGUGAGGAGUUUUUUUUUUUAAUGAACUCCGAAAGUAAAGAUGCAUAAAUUAUCUAAAUAGUAGUGUAUAUGCUUCUUAUCUGUUUCUUUAUACAUUGGCUUUUGUUCCCCACUCUACGCAAAGUAAAUUUCAGAUUGUGAAACAUGAUAGUUUAACAGGUGCUACGUAACGUUUAACAAAGACGUUCGUGAUCUAGUUACACUCGACCUAUCCUCCCUCCAAGAGAGGUGGAGCCAGAGGUAGUGGUAAGAGUUAUAAACACAGACAUUAGUCCUAUCUGAUCAUAAAACACACGCCAAACAAUCUCUGGUAGACAGUAGACUCCACUCAGAAGACCUCACGGCGAAAGAGAAAGGGACACUGAUAUGUGUCAGCUUCAUAAAAUUCUUUCUCUUCGUGGUGUGAUUUUACGAAAAUAGAGAGCGCUCAAAAUUCGUUAGAAAUGUAUAGAUCUAACUGUAGUCUUAAUCAGCAACAGAUAAACAUAAAAGUAUUAUUUCUUAUAGUAAUAAGUUUCCCGUACUAGAUCUAUAUCAUUUAUUGUCAUUGCUCUAAAAAGAUCACUAAGUCAUAAUGCAUAAUUUUGUUCAAAAAAUAAUAAUAAUUAAACAUAACAUGUAUAUCUAGAUGCGUGUUUCAUUUCAUUUAAUUCAUGCAUAUUUGUUUUAUAUUAAUUAUAGAUCUAAUUGUUAACAUAUAUUUUUUAAUUAAUAAUUUCAUAAGUAGAAAAAAAGAAGAAACAACAAGUUCAUCAAUUUAUUAAUAACAUUUUAUUUAGACCUUCAUUUCAGUAAAUACACUUAAAAAAUCAUAAGUUGACAGCAUAAGAACAAAAACUCUCUUUAAAAAAAGUUAUAGAAAGUUCAAUAUAGGUAAGGGAGAUAAAUAUGCUUAACAAACAACAUGGUGGUCGGCAAAGGUAUCUGCGUAUCUGAACUUAGUUAGAAUAUUGCGAUGUUAUAAAUGCAGCAUAUGCAUGUGAAAAUGAUUACAGACACGUCAUUUAAUUACUGGGAGUGAUUAGCUACAAUGGAAAGGUCAUUGAAGGAGAGUGUCAGUGUGCAGGGGGUUGCAAGCCCGCCUGUUGUAAACAUCUUUUUGGUCUUCUGUCUGCUCUAGAAGACUAUAGCAGAAAAAAAAUGUAUGCAGCACCAACAGACAAAAUUCAGACAUGGCAUCAACCUGCACCUAAAGCCUCAGAAAACGAAGGAUAGUUUUAGCUGUGAUAAGACUGGUCUACAAAAUUUUGAUACCAGUGUUUCAAUGUCUGCUUUGGCUGCCUUACCUCAGAACACUCCUAUAUUUUCAGUUCUACAAGCCGA